rnacentral:tRNA from 1 species
GGGUAAUUUUAUUCGCAUGUGAUGAACGCUUCCCUUACAAGGAAGAAGUCACAGGUUCAAAUCCUGUAGCGCCCA